rnacentral:rRNA from 1 species
UCCGUAGGUGAACCUGCGGAAGGAUCAUUGUCGAAGCCUAUAAAGCAAGACCGUGGACAAGUUGUUAAUUAGGGAAGCAUUUGGGAGCACCUUUGGGUACCCCAUUUGCAAUUCCUUCGCUUGGUGUCUAGCCCUUGGGCUUUUUAUCCGAGUGAACUUAAUGAACCCCGGCGCGGACAGCGCCAAGGAAUCAAUAACGAAGGAGUGUGGUCGGGUAGCCCGUUCUCGGGUUGCUAAGGCCACUGAUCCAUUCAAUACUAUAACGACUCUCGGCAACGGAUAUCUCGGCUCUCGCUUCGAUGAAGAACGUAACAAAAUGCGAUACUUGGUGUGAAUUGCAGAAUCCCGUGAACCAUCGAGUUUUUGAACGCAAGUUGCGCCCGAAGCCCUUAGGCUUAGGGCACGUCUGCCUGGGCGUCACGUAUUGUGUUGCCCCCCAUACUUAUAAGAAUGGGGAGCGAAGCAUGGCCUCCCGUGAUUCCAUACUCGCGGAUGGCUUAAAUUUGAGCCUCGGGACGGUUAGGCGUCGCGACAAGUGGUGGUUACAAGGCUUCGUGCCUUUGAUCUUUCGCGUUGCGUUUGCCACGUCUUCUUUGUCUCAAAACUAAACCAAAACGGCGCAUCUUUGGUGUUGCCAGCAUAGCGACCCCAGGUCAGGCGGGAUUACCCGGUGAGUUAA